UACGGAGGGAGCGAGCGUUGUCCGAAGUUACUGGGCGUAAAGCGCGCGUAGGCGGGAAGUUAAGUGAGAAGUGAAAGGCUGGGGCUUAACCCCAUGCAGUGCUCCUCAUACUGGUUUUCUUGAGGGUGGUAGAGAGAAGUGGAAUGGCUGGUGUAGCGGUGAAAUGCGUAGAUAUCAGUCGGAACACCAGUGGCGAAGGCGGCUUCUUGGGCCAUUACUGACGCUGAGGCGCGAAAGCCAGGGGAGCGAACGGG
rnacentral:rRNA from 1 species